AAUCUUUGUUAUGCCCUAAUAGGACGUUUAUACUGAAGGGGUAACAUGGGUUAAAAUGUAAUUUUUGCUGAUAGGAAGUAUGAAGGGUUAAUGCUCUAUUAACUCGAUCAAAACUUUCAGUUGGCCUACCGAGUGAAAAAAGCUUUCAGUCAACUAAUUGUACCAUUUAAAACUUGCAGUUAGGUCAUUCCGUUAGUCUCCGUUAAAAACUUAAUGUUUUAAUGUUCUAUUUCAUCACUGUUUUCGCUCAAAAUUUCAGUUGCCCUACCAAGUAAAGGAUAACUUUACAAGCAAUCUUCCCCUCCAUUUCCUCAUGCUCCUGAUUUUUUCUCCCACCUUUACUAUGGUGCCAAUGCAUUAGGCAAUGUAGUUGAUGUAAUUUGCAUGAGCCUGAAGUCUUAGCAGAAUGAGUAUUUAUGAAUUAGUAGUUUAUGAAUUAAACCAGUGACUACCUUUUAGUUUUACAAGCUUGAGGAUGAAUUAGUAGUUUAUGAAUUAAUGAAGGAAUGAGGUUAAUGGCUCAAAAAUUCACAUAGAUUGAACAUAUUCGGGAAGAUGGACCAUCUGAAAAUCUGAAAGCCCCAAAUUAACCUGAAGAACCCUAAUUUAUACACGCAAAUCUGAAAAUAUAUGUAAUUCCGUUAAAGUUAACGUUUUCCGUUAAAGUCAAACACAUGGUUAACGGCACUGAAAUGUUUUUCAAACUUAGUUAUGUGAUUGUAAGUUUUUAGAUGCUUUAUUAUUUAAAUGAAAACUUUUUUGACUCGGUAGGCCAAUUGAAAGUUUUGGUCCAGUACAGUGACCAAUUAGAGUAUUAACCCGAAGUAUGAAUGACACAAGUCCAAUAGAGUGAAGAACUGCAUUCCCAGGUGCAAGGAUUGCAUGUCCCAGUAUCCCAGUCUGGGAUACACAAACAGUGAUGGGUGUGGAAAAAAUUGUAAAUGUAUUUAACUCCUAAAGAAAUAAAUAGAGUUAACAUCGUUAUAUCUCUUAAUGUUUAACCGUGGACAUGGGCGGAUCUAUGAUUCAAAUUUUGGGGGCACCAAGCAAAUUUUUGGAAAAUAUCUAUAUAUUUUUAAAUUUUGUGGGGGCUUUUGCAAAAUUUAGAACGGUAAAAAAAUGUAAAACAGUUUUUAGGAGGGACUCGUGUCCCCCAUACCUCUUCCUAGAUCCGCCCUUGAUCGUGGAGGCCUUAGAGCAUUCACAUUGGAUUCCCCAUCCCUAUCCCUAUAUUCUUAUUAAAUUUAGUAAUUCCCUAGAAUUAUCUUCAUGAAUUUAAAUAUCUUCUACAUCUCAUUCCCCAUCCUACCUUACCCCAUUCCUAUAUUCUUUUUAAUAUUACUUCCGUCUCUUUCUCUCUCAUUUAUUAUCUAAUCAGUUACACCUAAAUUAAAAAAUGAAAGGAAAAGGAAUGGGGAUGUACAGUGAGUCCCCAAAUAUGGGGUUUUAGUUUUUGUCCCUAAAACUAAACCCUAUUUUAGAGUCUCGGAUGGAGCAACAAUUUUGCUAAAAACUUAGGAAUUUCCUUAAAUUAUAAGGAUAUGGGAAGUAUGGGGAAGCCGAUGUGAAUGCCCUUAGACAUAUGUAAAGAUCAUUUGAUGAGUUCGGGAUUUUCCAUUUUGGACACUUAAGCACUCCUACCACCUUCACCACCUUGUCGCACCAUCCCUCUAAUUCAAGUCUGCCUAAUGUAGUCCGGACUUAAUUUUAUCCUAUUCCCGAUAUAAUAUGAUGCACGAGUGAGAUUCCUUUUCAUUUGUUAAAUUUUAAGUGACAAAUUUUUUUGGCACAGAGAAAUAAGGAAAUGGG
rnacentral:lncRNA from 1 species